GGGAAACCAUGGCUGGAGUUGAACCUAACAAACACUGACCAAGAACAAGACAUUGUUUUUUAGGGGGGGGAAUGCUGAGUGUUUUGAAAUCUGAUGCAUCUGGGAAUGACAAAAAGAGACGGCAAUUUCUGAAACAUGGACAACAGCACGAUGUCAAAGGCCAUGUCCCGUACUUAAUCAUCAGGUCUAUGGAUCUUGAUCAAGGAUGGAAAACCAAUGAAUUGUAGCAGAGAAAUAAAUGAAUAUGCUGUGUA